ensembl:lncRNA
AUGGCUUCGUGUUAUCGUCCGGAUAGAACUAUUGUUCCAGCCACCAAAGACAGAUUCGCAAAUAACCUGCCUGAUUUAUCUCAACUGCUCUGUGUACCCAUAAAUACACAUGAACUAGAUGAAAUGACUGGAAACAUGGGCACUAUCUUCUCUAAUACAUUAGAAGCUGUUGCCCCCAUCAAAUUGAAAAAGGUUAGAGAAAAACGUACUGUGCCAUGGUACAACAGUAAUACCCACUCUCUCAAGAAAGAAACUCGUAGUCUUGAGCGCAAAUGGAGAAAAACUAACUUGGAAGUUUUUAGAAUUGCGUGGAAAAACAGUAUGUCCAGCUAUAGACAGGCUCUAAAAACUGCCAGGGCCGAGCAUAUCCACAAACUCAUAGAAAAUAACCAAAACAAUCCAAGGUUUUUAUUUAGCACAGUGGCUAGAUUAACAAAUAACCAGACGCCACCCGAUCUAAAUAUUCCCUCACAGUUAAAUAGUAAUGACUUUAUGAAUUUCUUCACUGAUAAAAUAGAUAACAUCAGAAAUACAAUAACAAAUGUAGAUUCUACAGCGUCUAAUACUUCAGUUUUAUCCAUCGCACCCAAAGAUAAACUGCAGUGCUUUACAACUAUAGGACAGGAAGAGCUAAAUAAACUUAUCACUGCAUCUAAACCAACAACAUGUUUAUUGAAUCCUGUACCCACUAAAUUACUGAAAGAGUUGUUACCUGUAGCAGAAGAACCGCUUCUCAAUAUUAUUAACUCGUCGUUAUCUUUAGGUCACGUCCCAAAACCAUUCAAGCUGGCGGUUAUUAAGCCUCUUAUUAAGAAACCACAACUAGAUCCUUGUGAACUGGCAAAUUACAGACCCAUUUCAAAUCUUCCCUUUAUGUCUAAAAUUUUAGAAAAUGUUGUGUCUGCUCAAUUGUGCUCCUUCCUGCAAAAAAUUAUCUCUAUGAAGAAUUUCAGUCGGGGUUCAGGCCCCAUCAUAGCACAGAAACUGUACUUGUUAAAAUUACUUAAAUGA